AGCUCCAAUAGCGUAUAUUAAAGUUGUUGCGGUUAAAAAGCUCGUAGUUGGAUUUCUGUUGAGAACGCACGGUCCGUGCUUUGCGCGAGCAUCUGUGUCGGUCUUGGCAUCCUCUGGGGGAUCGUUUUCCUGCGCUUGAUUGCGUGGGGCGGAACUUCAGACUUUUACUUUGAGGAAAUUAGAGUGUUCACGGCAGGCAAACGUCUUGAAUACAUUAGCAUGGAAUAAUAACAUAGGACCUUGGUUCUAUUUUGUUGGUUUCUAGAGCUGAGGUAAUGAUUAAUAGGGACAAUUGGGGGCAUUCGUAUUAACGCGUCAGAGGUGGAAUUCUUGGAUUGCGUUACGACGAACUACUGCGAAAGCAUUUGCCAAGGAUGUUUUCA
rnacentral:rRNA from 1 species